AUUUGUUCAUCUAUAGUAUAUAAUGUAUCAGUUAUAGGGAUCCAUUAUAGUACUCUAUUAUUUGAAAAGGAAACCAUAGCUUUUUCUCUCUCCUCGCACCAGGCUAUACAGCCCCCUCCUUCUCGU